UCCCGGCUGGUGUAGUGGAAGCACAGCGGUCUUUGACACCGCGAGGUCAGGUUCGAACCCUGAGCCGGGAG
rnacentral:tRNA from 1 species